AGGCUCGUAGCUCAGUUGGUAGAGCGGCGCCCUUACAAGGCGAUGGUCCACGGUUCGAGUCCGUGUGGGCCUA
rnacentral:tRNA from 1 species